rnacentral:rRNA from 1 species
AGUGAACGCUGGCGGUAGGCCUAACACAUGCAAGUCGAACGGCAGCACAGUAAGAGCUUGCUCUUACGGGUGGCGAGUGGCGGACGGGUGAGGAAUACAUCGGAAUCUACUUUUUCGUGGGGGAUAACGUAGGGAAACUUACGCUAAUACCGCAUACGACCUACGGGGGAAAGCAGGGGAUCUUCGGACCUUGCGCGAUUGAAUGAGCCGAUGUCGGAUUAGCUAGUUGGCGGGGUAAAGGCCCACCAAGGCGACGAUCCGUAGCUGGUCUGAGAGGAUGAUCAGCCACACUGGAACUGAGACACGGUCCAGACUCCUACGGGAGGCAGCAGUGGGGAAUAUUGGACAAUGGGCGCAAGCCUGAUCCAGCCAUACCGCGUGGGUGAAGAAGGCCUUCGGGUUGUAAAGCCCUUUUGUUGCGAAAGAAAAGCAGCAGGUUAAUACCCCGCUGUUCUGACGGUACCCAAAGAAUAAGCACCGGCUAACUUCGUG